ensembl:lncRNA
AUCCAAUAGCAUGUUCCAGUCUCCGCACAUAGUGCCACGCUGACACUGAGACACAGAGUGCCUAGCCAUGGUACUAACUAUGGCAGAGUACGCCAGGAGGCUCACAUGUUACCUCUUCUGAACACUGAAACCCUGGAGACCAACACCAGCUGAGCUCGCUCGCUAACAGUUCCCGAGAGCGUGCUUGCACUGGGAAAUCCCUCCAACCACGUGACAAGCCCAAAGACAAGCCAGUGUGAAGACAGGAAGGGAAGUUUCUCAUCUGGAAAACAGGAAGAGAUGGGGCUCAUCGAGGCUCAGGAGGCAGAAUCGAAGGCUGUGUGCCUAGCAAUUAUUGCCCCAGCUUCUUCCCUGUGAAAAUGGUG